rnacentral:rRNA from 1 species
GAUGAACGCUGACAGAAUGCUUAACACAUGCAAGUCUACUUGAACUUCGGUUUGGGUGGCGGACGGGUGAGUAACGCGUAAAGAACUUGCCUCACAGAUAGGGACAACAUUUGGAAACGAAUGCUAAUGCCUGAUAUUAUGAUUUUAGGGCAUCCUAGAAUUAUGAAAGCUAUAUGCACUGUGAGAGAGCUUUGCGUCCCAUUAGCUAGUUGGAGAGGUAACGGCUCACCAAGGCGAUGAUGGGUAGCCGGCCUGAGAGGGUGAUCGGCCACAAGGGGACUGAGACACGGCCCUUACUCCUACGGGAGGCAGCAGUGGGGAAUAUUGGACAAUGGACCAAGAGUCUGAUCCAGCAAUUCUGUGUGCACGAUGAAGUUUUUCGGAAUGUAAAGUGCUUUCAGUUGGGAAGAAAAAAAUGACGGUACCAACAGAAGAAGUGACGGCUAAAUACGUG